GAUGAACGCUGGCGGCGUGCCUAAUACAUGCAAGUCGAGCGAAUGGAUUAAGAGCUUGCUCUUAUGAAGUUAGCGGCGGACGGGUGAGUAACACGUGGGUAACCUGCCCAUAAGACUGGGAUAACUCCGGGAAACCGGGGCUAAUACCGGAUAACAUUUUGAACCGCAUGGUUCGAAAUUGAAAGGCGGCUUCGGCUGUCACUUAUGGAUGGACCCGCGUCGCAUUAGCUAGUUGGUGAGGUAACGGCUCACCAAGGCAACGAUGCGUAGCCGACCUGAGAGGGUGAUCGGCCACGCUGGUACUGAGACACGGCCCAGACUCCUACGGGAGGCAGCAGUAGGGAAUCUUCCGCAAUGGACGAAAGUCUGACGGAGCAACGCCGCGUGAGUGAUGAAGGCUAUCGGGUCGUAAAACUCUGUUGUUAGGGAAGAACAAGUGCUAGUUGAAUAAGCUGGCACCUUGACGGUACCUAACCAGAAAGCCACGGCUAACUACGUGCCAGCCGCCGCCGUAA
rnacentral:rRNA from 1 species